GCUGCUUCUAGUGGUAACAAUAAUUAUUAUCACAGCAGAAGCACGACACCUCAAGGACUAAAUUUGUCCUUCAGAUGUCCAGGGACACUUGGAAGAGAUAAACACCAUUAGUCACACUGCUGUGUUCGGUCCAUUUCCAUAUGUCUUCUCUGAUGAUAGAAUCAAAAGAUAAUGGGUUUUCUUAGUACUGGACAUAUGUCAUACCAAAACAGUUUGAAUAUUGGUCUACAUUUUGACAGCGACACGAGAACAAUGAAAGACAUUUUUAUUGAUGAUAAAAAAACGAACAAGUUUUGUUGAGAAGAAUGGUACUGUACAUCUCCAUCACUGAAGGUUCAUGCAAAUGAGUAGAUCAUGCACUGCAGAGGCGGAACAUAAGCACAAGACCGCUCCACGAUUCUGCAAACCAUACAGUUAUAGGGAUAUUAACCCUAA